CUGAUCACUAAAUAUAGCUUCAGAGUUUCUCUUGAAUAUUAGGGGCAACGUCCAUAUUCUUCAAAUUUGAACUUGGGUCGCUCACCAAUAUGAAAACAAUUGCACCUCACUGGUUUCUUUUUUGGAGAUUGCAGGAUACCAUGAAUUGGCAAGAGUUAUGGGUACUCUGUUAACAUUUUUUAUGGAGACAGAGGAAAUGCAAUAAAACUUUCCUGUCUUAUACCAUGAUAUUUUCCAGGGACCAUGUGAAUGAGAGACCUGGUUGGAUCUGCUUAGUAGUGAUCGCAAUGCUUCCUCCAUUCUUUUACUUAGCAAUUUGGGCUUCUGUUCAGGUGCAGGUCUGUUAAAUCAGUUUGGAGAAAUCUGCAAUAUCUUUAUUCGAUGGUGGUGAAAGUUCUUUGGAAGCGAUGGGAAUGCUUCAUUGAAGAUUUAUUCAAGUCUGGAGAAAAGGUUGGAUCUGUUUAUUGCCAUUUCCGUUAAUCUUACUUCUCAGCAAAGGAAUUCAUUAAUAUUGUACCUCUCUAUUUAUAUGCUGAUACGUAUUGUUUGCAAGAUUU